GUGUCAGCAGCCGCGCGGUAAUACGAAGGUCCCAAGCGUUGUUCGGAAUCACUGGGCGUAAAGGGAGCGUAGGCUGUGCGGUAAGUCAGAUGUGAAAUCCCGGGGCUCAACCCCGGAACUGCAUCCGAUACUGCCAUACUAGAGGAUUGGAGAGGUAGCUGGAAUUCACGGUGUAGCAGUGAAAUGCGUAGAUAUCGUGAGGAACACCAAUGGCGAAAGCAAGCUACUGGACAACUCCUGACGCUGAGGCUCGAAGGCCAGGGUAGCGAAAGGGAUUAGAUACCCCUGUAGUCCUGGCAGUAAACGGUGCGCGCUUGGUGUGAGAGGAUUCGACCCCUCUUGUGCCGGAGCUAACGCGUUAAGCGCGCCGCCUGGGAAGUACGGUCGCAAGACUAAAACUCGAAGAAAUUGACGGGGACCCGCACAAGCGGUGGAGUAUGUGGCUUAAUUCGAUGCAACGCGAAGAACCUUACCAAGGCUUGACAUGCAUCUCUAAUCGCGUGAAAGCGCGUGACCCUUCGGGGGAUUUGCACAGGUGCUGCAUGGCCGUCGUCAGCUAGUGUCGUGAGAUGUUGGGUUAAGUCCCGCAACGAGCGCAACCCCUGUGAUCAGUUGCCAGCACAUAAUGGUGGGAACUCUGGUCAGACUGCCCAGAUCAACUGGGAGGAAGGUGGGGACGACGUCAGGUCAGUAUGGCCCUUACGCCUUGGGCUGCAGACGUACUACAAUGCCCAGUACAAUGAGAACCGAUACCGCGAGGUGGAGGAAAUCUACAAAACUGGGCCCAGUUCGGAUUGAGGCUGCAACUCGCCUGCAUGAAGCCGGAAUCGCUAGUAAUCGCAGUCAGCAUACUGCGGUGAAUGUGUUCCUGAGCCUUGCACACACCGCCCGUCAAUCCAUAUGACUA
rnacentral:rRNA from 1 species